UACGUAGGGUGCAAGCGUUGCCCGGAUUUAUUGGGCGUAAAGGGCGCGUAGGCGGCUCGGCACGUCCGUUGUGAAAUCGCCCGGCUCAACUGGGCGGGGUCAGCGGAUACGGUCGAGCUUGAGCAAGCUAGGGGGCAAUGGAAUUCCCGGUGUAGUGGUGGAAUGCGUAGAUAUCGGGGAGGAACACCGGUGGCGAAGGCGGGUCUCUGGGCCGAUACUGACGCUGAGAAGCGAAAGCGUGGGGAGCGAACAGG
rnacentral:rRNA from 1 species